UGUAUAUCUGACUGUAUGUGUGUAUAUCUGACUGUAUGUGUGUAUCUGACUAUGUGUGUAUAUCUGACUGUAUGUGUGUAUCUGACUAUGUAUGUGUAUAUCUGACUGUAUGUGUGUAUAUCUGACUGUAUGUGUGUAUCUGACUAUGUAUGUGUGUAUCUGACUAUGUGUGUGUGUAUCUGACUAUGUGUGUGUAUCUGACUGUGUGUGUGUAUAUCUGACUAUGUGUGUAUAUCUGACUAUGUGUGUGUAUCUGACUGUGUGUGUAUAU